AUACUGAUUGAUGAUGGUGAGAUGGCAUCUCAUAUUCUCAACGGUCUUGAUUUAGAGUACAAUCCAUUUGUUUCUUCAAUGCUUGGCCGAGCGGAUCCUAUCUCACCUUCCGAGUUAUAUUCUCAUCUAAUAUCCUAUGAGA
rfam:Setaria italica strain Yugu1 chromosome IV, whole genome shotgun sequence.